rnacentral:misc_RNA from 1 species
AGAGAGAGAGAGAGAGAGAGAGCCCAAAAAAGUAAAAGUAGAAUUACCAGAUGCCAAAGGUGAAAGUGAAAGGUUGGCUUAGGGUAAAACCGGAGCAAUGUACAGAGCGGUAAAAUCUGGUCAGGUACUGGACUGCUGUUCUUGUUGGAAUGACGGUGGUACGACGCCGUUUAUAGAACCACCAGACAAGUUGCGAUGCAACCGUAAUGACGGCAAGGGCUGGCGUUGCAACCGCUGGAGGAUCCAGGACAAGAUGUGUUGUGAGCUCCAUUACCUCCAAAACGUCCACAAGUCGAGGAAGGAGAAGAAGAAGAGGCAGAAGGGAAGGGAAGAUGUAAAUAAGGCUCAAAGCAGCGGAUUUUCUGCUGCUGCGAAGAGGCGUCGCCGUGAAGAUUAUGAAGCGGAAGAAGAAGAGGACGUUAUUCCGGCGAAGAGGCAGAGGAAGAAAUUGAUACUUGAAGAGAAGUCUGGGGUGACAUCGGUGAAUAAAGGGAAGAGUGUGGAUGCCAAAUUUGGUAUUUUGAAGAAGGAGAGUAGUGCGGCAGAGAGGCCUAAAGAAGAAGACGAAGACGAAGAGGUGAUUUCUGAGGAGGAAAAGAAGAAAAAGAGUUUAUUAAAAAAGAAGACGAAGCUAGGUGAGGUUGAGGCUUCGAAGGAGCAGAAGGGGCAAAAAGGGAAUGGUGUAGAGAUUAAGGAGAAGAAACAGAAGAACAAGAGUGAAGGAGUGAAAUUGUUGGAUAGGAAAGCUAGGAGUAAAGAGAAGCUAAGGAAACUGUUCAAAUGGGAGAAGGAGCUUGAUAAUGUUGUGGACAAUUUAUUUCAGCAACAGUUGAUUACAAGUGGAACCAAAAGGAAACGUAGUAGUAGUGAUACCAUUGUGGGUCAGCCUUCAGUUUUGACUAUUUAUUUACUCAGCAAUUGUUUUAUUUUAUUUGAAAUGGUACUAUUAAUUUAUUUUUAAUAUUUUCUUGUGCAAAGAAUCUUGCCAAAGCCGAUCUUAAGGAGGAAGUUAAUUAUUCAUCAUGCCAUCAAUGCCGGAAGAGUGAUAGAAAGGUGGUUAUGUGCCGAAAAUGCAACGAUAAAUGCUAUUGUUCCUCUUGCAUUAGGAGAUGGUAUCCUAAAAUGUCAGAGGAAGCAUUGGCAGAGGCCUGCCCAUUUUGUCUGGGACAUUGCAAUUGCAAAGCGUGUUUGCAAAGAACUGAAACAAUUAAUGAUGCCAAAAGUUCAGGAAUGCCAGUAAAUAGAGAUGAAAAGGUCAAGCACUUGAAGUAUCUCAUACAUGUUCUGUGUCCCUUCCUGAGUCAGUUUAAUUGUGCUCAAAUGAUGGAAAAAGAGAUGGAAGCAAAUAUUCAAGGGUUGUCUUUGUCAGAGCUAGAGUUGCAGCAGGCUGUUUGUCAUAGUGAUGAGCGUUCAUAUUGCAAUAACUGUUCAACUUCUAUAGUUGAUUUCCAUAGGAGUUGCCCAAAUUGUUCAUAUGAUCUUUGCCUUACUUGCUGUCGUGAAAUUCGUGAUGGCUGCUUGCGAGGUGGAGAUGAAAUGUUGGUUGAAUAUUGGGACCGGCAGAAGGCUUGCUUACAUGCUGGAGAACCUGAUCCAACAUCUUCAGAAGAGAGCAAAUCUUAUAGCAGAAUUAAGUCAGAUUUGGAACAUUGUAGGAGGGCGAUAUCUGAGUGGAAAGCAAAGGAAAAUGGUGACAUCCCUUGUCCACCAAAAAACUUGGGUGGAUGUGGACAUCACCGUUUGGAGCUAAGGAGCAUUUUUCCAGAUGGUUGGGUUUUAGAAUUGAAGGAUAAAGUAAACAAGUUACUUAAAAUCCAUAAACUUAGUGAUGUGCCAAAAUAUUCUAGGGAACGCUGUCAAUGUUCUAGAUCAAAUGGUGAUAUCAAAUCCAGUAAUAAGAAUUUGCGGAAUGUUGCCUCUCGAAAAGAUUCUAGAGACAACUAUCUGUACUGCCCCUCAGCUAUUGAUAUCCAACAGGGGGAUCUGGACCAUUUCCAGGCACAUUGGAUUAGGGGAGAACCCGUGAUUGUCAGAGAUGUUCUCAAUUUAACCUCUGGCUUGAGCUGGGAGCCAAUGGUUAUGUGCCGUGCAAUUUGUGAGAUAACAUAUGCUGGUUCUUCAGAUUUGGUGGUGAAAGCAAUUGAUUGUCUUGACUGGUGUGAGGUUGAGAUAAAUAUUCGCCAAUUUUUUAAAGGGUAUUCAGAUGGUCGCGCUCACUCUAACUUAUGGCCUGAGAUGCUCAAGCUUAAAGAUUGGCCUCCAUCUAAUCUCUUUGGAGAGUGCUUACCGCGCCAUAAUAUGGAAUUUAUCAGUGCCUUGCCAUAUUUAGAGUAUACAGAUCCUCACUCUGGCAUUCUGAAUGUUGCUGCAAAGGUGCCCUCAAAUAUACUGAAACCAGACUUGGGACCAAAAACUUAUAUAGCUUAUGGAUUUGCUGAAGAGCUUGGACGUGGAGAUUCUG